CCCUUAGAUGUUCUGGGCCGCACGCGUGCUACACUGAUGCAUUCAACGAGUCUAAAACCUGGUCUGAUAGGGCUGGGUAAUCUUUUGAAAGUGCAUCGUGAUUGGGAUAGAUGAUUGCAAUUCUUCAUCUUCAACGAGGAAUGCCUAGUAAACGCAAGUCAUCAGCUUGCAUUGAUUACGUCCCUGCCCUUUGUACACACCACCCGUCGCUCCUACCGAUUGAAUGAUCCGAUGAAUACCAUGGAUUGAGAGUACGAAUAGGUUCGCUUAUUUCUGCUGCUCGAGAAGUGGAGUAAAUCUUAUCAUUUAGAGGAAGGAGAAGUCGUAACA
rnacentral:rRNA from 1 species